CCUCCAUCAUCUGGCGAGGUUGUGGGAAUUGUUACUGCAGCCCUCCUGGUAACAGUUGUCGUGACAGCCACAGCUUACCUCAUCAUUCUCAGGAAGAGGCGUGAGGCUUUAUUCAACCCCUCUGUCAGCAUUGAUGCAAGCAGCCUGGUGUUCAAUGCAGACAGGACAGGGACAGGAAGAGAAGAGGACCUGGUUUAUUCGGAGAUCGUCAGAUUCAACAUUGCCAAGAGCAAAGCACACGACACAUCUGGAGAAGACCAGAAAGAUGCAGAUGUCAAGCCAGCUGAGGAUGUCACCUACUCUGCAGUGGCAGUGGGGAACCAGCAUCCUUUAAGGGAAGACACAGUUUACUCUCAGGUUGUGAGAAAGGACCGGGACAUAGACAAUGUAUGGACUGUCUAAGCACAAUAACAGAAAAGCACAGGCUAACCAGACAUCCUUUAGAUUCACAUACAUUUAACUGAAGUUCUCUUGUUGGGGAAGUCGUUAUUAGACGAAGCUAUCUGGAUCCUAGAGAAGGGAUCUGUGUGUGAAUACUGAGAAAUGUUUCAAAUUAGUGUUUUCAGAAGUGGACAGGCUGACAUUUAAUAUAUGCAGUGGCGGUGGUGAAGAUUGGUAUUUGUACUAUUUUGAUGUUGUCAGUAAUUGUACACUCUUGACAUACAUACAC